rnacentral:rRNA from 1 species
CCUACGUGAGGCAGCAGUGAGGAAUAUUGGUCAAUGGGCGAGAGCCUGAACCAGCCAAGUCGCGUGAGGGAGUACUGCCCUAUGGGUUGUAAACCUCUUUUGUCGGGGAGCAAAAGCCGGACGUGUCCGGCUGUGAGAGUACCCGAAGAAAAAGCAUCGGCUAACUCCGUGCCAGCAGCGGCGGUAAUACGGAGGAUGCGAGCGUUAUCCGGAUUUAUGGGGUUAAAAGGGUGCGCAGGCGGAUUUUUAAGUCAGCGGUCAAAUCGUGGGGCUCAACCCCAUCCAGCCGUUGAAACUGGGGAUCUAGAGUGUGAGAGGGGUAUGCGAAAUGCGUGGUGUAGCGGUGAAAUGCAUAGAUAUCACGCAGAACCCCGAUUGCGAAGGCAGCAUACCGGUGCACAACUGACGCUCAGGCACGAAAGCGUGGGUAUCGAACAGGAUUAGAUACCCUAGUAGUC